rnacentral:lncRNA from 1 species
CACAAACUUAGAGGCUUAAACAAUGCAAAUGUAUCGCCUUGCAGAUUCGUAGGUCAGAAGUCCGACACGGGUCUAUCAAGCUAAACCAAGGUGUGGGCAGGGCUGUACCCUGUUCUGUCAGCUCUCGGGAAGGGUCUGUUUCCUAGGAUCUUUAGGUUGUAGGUGAAUUCCGUCUUCCAGGUUGUAGGACCAACAACAACGACUGAGUUCCUCACACUGUGAACUGUCCUCUCCCUCCUGCCUCGUCUGUGCCUGCCAGGAGUGGUUCUUCGGUGUUAAGGACUCACAGUGACAGGAGGUAAGCCAUGAGGUUUCCCAUGAGUCAGGCACCAAGUAAGCAGCAGUGCCUGCUGGAAACCAGGUGCCCAGCUCAGAGGCUGGGCCACCCCAGGAACCCUCAGAGAAGACUGGGCGGUGCCCUGCCAGUGGGAGAUGAGGGCAAACAGGAAACCAGAGCUGCUGACCCUGCCCUUACUUCAAGGGUCGAUAUUUUGCUUAUCAUGUACAAUUGGUGUUAAUUUUUAUUUUAAAAAAUGUUUUAUAAAAAUGUUAUCUUGAUAACUGAGUUUUAAGCACCUCUUAAAUUGUACGUACACAGUGAGUACCUCACCGGCCGCUCACUGAGGGAAAGUCACCCACUGCUGAGCGCCUUUUAAGUGAAUUUAGGUAUGCAAACAGCUGUCCCAAAUCCAGGUUCAUAAACUGCUUAAAAUAAUAAAAAGUUUCCAUAUUACCAAAAUGUUCACGGUUCUCGAUAUCCUGAAACACACAGAGCUUUAGGUUUCCCACGGGCCCAGGGAAGACCAAGAAAGCGGAAUCGUUCUGUCUCCCACUGCUUCGUCCAACACCCCAAAGCAGGGCAGCACACUGCUGUGUUUGGUCAAAAGAGGGAGCCAUAGCUCGCCUUUGUCGCACCCCCAGUCUUGGUGAUCUUUUUCAUUUCUAAAUGGACGGGCAGUAGUAAGGAUCCCGAGUGAAAAGCUAAGGCACCCGUGAGUCCGUUCCACUGUUGUUGCUUUACACAUUUUUCUUUUGCCACUGUUUUACCUGUUUGGAAGCUGAUGUGCCUGCUCCAUCUCAGCCAUCCUGAGAGAAAGGUUGUUUCCAGAACAUUGACACUCUAAGCCUCAAGCCACUAGGGGCCACUGCCACCACCAAAAUGAGAUUCAGACAAUAAGUUGUAAUCAUUUACAUUGUAGGGGCACUUUACACACAACUGUUUCUUUAGAUAUAAUUUCAAAGACAUUUAUUUCUUUAAGACUCAUUUUAUAUAAUAUUUGUCUAAAUUUCAAGGUCCCCUAGUUAGUCCAAUUAAAUAUUUAGGAACAAAUUAUUUACAUAACCUCUCUGCAUCAACGAAUGUCUAACUCUUACAGCCUGCAUUUUCCAAGCCUGUGCUACACAGUGAGAACACAAAAUUGAGGAAGACCCAACUCUUGUCUUCAACAAUAGGUGAAUUGGAAGCACACAGACUAAUCCAUAAUGAGUGUCAGCAACGACCUAUUCACAGGCAAAGGAGGGGCUCUUUGGGGAAGGAGGGGGUUCAGCUAAGUGCAUGCAAUAUUGACCAGUAUAUAAAGAGACAUGUGUUAAUAUGGAAAGUCAGGCAGACUAUCUGGUCUCAACCUGUUUCUUACAUGGGAUGUAGAAAGCGUGAAAUCAUUUCCACACUCCCAAAGGGCACAUUGUGUUCACCAUUGGAUCUACCAAAGAAGAAAGAAAAGGGGGUUCCUGAAGAUCUAAUGGCACUAAGAAACACCUCCAAAAUGCUUUUCCCCAUAAGAAACUUAAAAAUUAUUUAAAAACCUUUUUAAAAUAUUUUUUAAUUUGAGUUUUUUUUUUUUUUUUUUCAUAUAUUCUCUCCACAGGACCUGCCUCACGGGAUGAGAAGCCAGCAUGACCUAAAAAGGCCUGGAAUGCCCUGCCCCAGGGUCUCCAACUUCUGAAGGGGGCAUGUUGCCUCUGUUUUGCAUGAUGAGAGCUAAAAGGGUCACUAAAGUCAAGAGGGAAGAAUGAAAAGCAGAAAUUCCUGCCAGUCCAAAGACCUGGACACUUCCCUUUGUGCCACUUACCUCUGCCCUGGGCAUUGAGCUAAAAAUUAACCAGCUCAGAGGAGCACUCAGGUGACUCCAGGGGCCCCAGGAGGAGUUCAGUCCUCUCUGCCAGGAGAUUCCCAGGAUUAUAAACCAGGGCACAGGACAGCAGGACAUGGAAGACAACUUGGAAGCACUGGGUUGCCCUCAGCCAGUGUUCACGCACCAACCAGCAACCAGGAAGUGCCCCCUGCCAUAGUUCCUGACCCCAGGGCCAUGGGGGUCCUGGCUAGCCACUGUCAUCAUGUCACUACUGAAGGACAUGCUCUUUGUACUUCAUGAGCUAAAAUACAGUUCAGUUGUGAGUUUGUUCAGAGUUUGGGUUUGUGAGACAGAAUGAAAUUAGCAAUACAAAAGAGCAAUACAUGUGCAACCAUUGGG